UGACAAUAGCGUCUUGGGUAUGAGAGAAUCAGUGACACGAUGUGAUCAGCUUCCCAAGACAUCUGUUGUUUUUUUUUCCAUCUUUUGGGAAACAACACUUAACAGAUGCAUCCUAACCAAAUUCAUCUAUAAAUAGAGGCAUUACAAGAUAGAUGGAUAGAUAGAGUUAGUUGAGAAUAAGGAGGAAAAUAAGAUCUGAAAGAAGAAUGACAAUGAUGAUGAUGCUAACUGGACAAAGCUUUCUAGAUGUGAUGGUAGCUGGGAUUUCUUUAAUGAUAGGUUUAGGAAUCUUCGGAUUCAUUGCUUCUGUUCUUUGUUCUGCUGCUUUUGUGUACCAUGCUAAGGAAGUAUCCUGAAAAAACACAACGAGAGAGAAAAGAUGUAAAACAGUUUGUAAUGAAAAAGCAGCUGGAUAAAAACAACAACUAGUAGUAGCAUUAGUAGUAGAUCACCACGAGGAUGAAAUAAAUGGUUUUUUGUUUAGUAGGAAAAUAUUCUUCUAAUGGUUCAACCCAGAGACACCAAGGAAUGACUGAAAUAGAGAAAUAGCUGAAAUUGUAAUGCAUAUGAACCAGCUGAGUGCAAUGUUGUAACCUUUCUUGUAUUGCAACAAUGUCAUAUUAUCUACCGGCAAAGAGUUAAUAUGAACGGCAUGGAGUUUACUUUAUACUAUUGUUGGUUCACUACUCA